AGAAGAGCUUGCGUCUGAUUAGCUAGUUGGUGGGGUAAGAGCCUACCAAGGCGACGAUCAGUAGCUGGUCUGAGAGGAUGAGCAGCCACACUGGGACUGGACACGGCCCAGACUCCUACGGGAGGCAGCAGUGGGGAAUUUUCCGCAAUGGGCGAAAGCUUGACGGAGCAACGCCGCGUGAGGGAGGAAGGUCUUUGGAUUGUAAACCUCUUUUCUCAAGGAAGAAGUUCUGACGGUACUUGAGGAAUCAGCCUCGGCUAACUCCGUGCCAGCAGCCGCGGUAAUACGGGAGGCAAGCGUUAUCCGGAAUUAUUGGGCGUAAAGCGUCCGCAGGUUCAGCCAAGUCUGCCGUCAAAUCAGGUUGCUUAACGACCUAAAGGCGGGAAACUGGCAGACUAGAGAGCAGUAGGGGUAGCAGGAAUUCCCAGUGGCGGKGGAAAUGCGUA
rnacentral:rRNA from 1 species